rnacentral:rRNA from 1 species
GGGCCCGCACAAGCGGUGGAGCAUGUGGUUUAAUUCGAUGAUACGCGAGGAACCUUACCAGGGCUUAAAUGUAAGUUGCAUUAGUUAGAGAUAACUAUUUCUUCGGACCACUUACAAGGUGCUGCAUGGUUGUCGUCAGCUCGUGCCGUGAGGUGUCAGGUUAAGUCCUAUAACGAGCGCAACCCCUGUUGUUAGUUGCCAGCGAUUCAAGUCGGGAACUCUAACAAGACUGCCGGUGCAAACCGUGAGGAAGGUGGGGAUGACGUCAAAUCAUCACGGCCCUUACGUCCUGGCUACACACGUGCUACAAUGGAGGGUACAGAGGGUCGCGAAGCCGCGAGGUGGAGCC